rnacentral:rRNA from 1 species
CCUACGGGUGGCAGCAGUGAGGAAUAUUGGUCAAUGGGCGUAAGCCUGAACCAGCCAAGUCGCGUGAGGGAUGAAGGUCCUAUGGAUUGUAAACUUCUUUUAUAAGGGAAUAAAGUGCCGGACGUGUCCCGUUUUGUAUGUACCUUAUGAAUAAGGAUCGGCUAACUCCGUGCCAGCAGCCGCGGUAAUACGGAGGAUCCGAGCGUUAUCCGGUUUUAUUGGGUUUAAAGGGUGCGGAGGCGGGCUUUUAAGUCAGUGGUGAAAGUCUGUGGCUCAACCAUAGAAUUGCCGUUGAUACUGGCAGGCUUGAGUAUGUUAGAGGCAGGCGGAAUGCGUGGUGUAGCGGUGAAAUGCUUAGAUAUCACGAAGAACACCGAUUGCGAAGGCAGCCUGCUGGGCCAUGACUGACGCUGAUGCACGAAAGCGUGGGGAUCAAACAGGAUUAGAUACCCCUGUAGUC